UACGUAGGGUGCAAGCGUUGUCCGGAAUUCUUGGGCGUAAAGAGCUCGUAGGCGGUUUGUCGCGUCUGCUGUGAAAACUCGGGGCUUAACUCCGGGCCUGCAGUGGGUACGGGCAGACUAGAGUGCGGUAGGGGAGACUGGAAUUCCUGGUGUAGCGGUGAAAUGCGCAGAUAUCAGGAGGAACACCAAUAGCGAAGGCAGCUCGCUGGGACGGUACUGACGCUAAGGCGCGAAAGCGUGGGGAGCGAACAGG
rnacentral:rRNA from 1 species